rnacentral:lncRNA from 1 species
AAACAAGCUGCCCCCUCACCCAUGUCCACUAUGCUGAAGCAAUCACUGGAAGCCACACUGCCCCAAAGGACAAAGAUUAUCUGGGCCAGAAGCCCCCAAGCAGAUGAUCCAACCACAGGACUGAGGGUGCUCAGGGUUAGCGCCAGCUCAUGUCAUCACCCUCACUGAGCCCUGGGUACAUUUAACCAUUGAGGGCCAGGAAAUUGACUUCCUACUGGACACUGGUGCGGCUUUCUCAGUGUUAACCUCCUGUCCUGGACAGCUGUCCUCAAGGUCUGUUACCAUCCGAGGAAUCCUGGGACAGCCUAUAUCCAGGUAUUUCUCCCACCUCCUCAGUUGUAACUGGGAGACUUUGCUACAGAUAGAUCGAGGCCAUCAAGCUACAGAUGAUCUUACAAAUGUAACCCCAAAUGAGCUCAACUAACAACUUCUGCUGAGGACCCCUGGACCGACCCGCUGGCCCUUUCAAUGGCCUAAAGAGCUCCCCUCUGGAGGACACUACCACUGCAGGGCCCCUUCUUCACCCCUAUCCAGCAGGAAGUAGCUACAGCGGUCAUCGCCAAAUCCCAACAGCAGCUGGGGUGUCCUGUUUGGAGGGGGGAUUGAGAGGUGAAGCCAGCUGGGCUUCUGGGUCAGGUGGGGACUUGGAGAACUUUUGUGUCUAGCUAAAGGAUUGUAAAUGCACCAAUCAGCACUCUGUGUCUAGCUAAAGGAUUGUAAAUGCACCAAUCAGCACUCUGUAAAAUGGACCAAUCAGCAGGAUGUGGGCGGGGUCAAAUAAGGGAGUAAAAACUGGCCACCCGAGCCAGCAGUGGCAACCCACUCGGGUCCCCUUCCACACUGUGGAAGCUUUGUUCUUUUGCUCUUCACAAUAAAUCUUGC